UCCCUUCUCCACAGUAGAGGGGGAAAGAUGGCGCCCACACACGUACUGAGAUGCUGUCAACGGGGCUUAGCAUGGAUACCUGUGAUUUUUAUCGCGCUCGUCGUCUGCUGGUCGUACUACGCUUACGUGGUGGAGCUUUGUAUAUUCACCAUCCCCAGCAUAGGAGAGCAGAUUGUCUACCUGAUCUUCUUCCACCUCUCAUUCGUCAUGUUUGUGUGGUCUUACUGGAAGACCAUCUUCACCAAGCCUGCUAACCCUUCCAAAGAGUUUUGCCUCCCCAAGGCUGAAAAGGAACGCUAUGAGAAGGAGGAGAGGCCAGAGUCCCAGCAAGAGAUCCUGUGGAGAGCUGCCAGCAGCCUCCCUCUGUACACCCGCACAGGCGCUGGCGCGAUCCGCUACUGUGACCGCUGUCAAGUUAUCAAGCCAGACAGAUGUCAUCACUGCUCAGCAUGUGACAUGUGUGUGCUAAAGAUGGAUCAUCACUGUCCCUGGGUGAACAACUGUGUGGGAUUCUCCAACUACAAGUUUUUCAUCCUCUUCCUGGCCUACUCGCUGGUGUACUGUUUGUUCAUUGCAGCCACCGUCCUGCAGUAUUUCAUUAAAUUCUGGACACUUUGCCGCAGGAAAUCGGCAGAAAACUGCCCAAAGAAUGAGCUGACAGACACGCCUGCCAAAUUCCACGUCUUGUUUCUUUUUUUUGUGGCCGCCAUGUUCUGCAUCAGUAUUUUGUCCCUCUUCAGCUACCACCUUUGGCUUGUAGGGAAGAACAGGUCGACAAUAGAGGCAUUCAGAGCACCAGUCUUUAGGACAGGCUCUGAUAAAAAUGGUUUCUCUCUGGGUUUCCGAAAGAAUAUUGCUCAGGUCUUUGGUGACCAGAAGAAGUACUGGCUGCUGCCCGUCUUCACAAGCCAGGGAGAUGGUCUGACGUUCCCCACCCGACUGGUCAACACCGACGUGGAGCAGGCCACAGUGACACUGCAGUCAGAGCCCAGUAAAAGCGCUGCUGACAUCACCGUGAGUCCACUCAGCGAGUCUCAGAAUCGCCUCCUGAGCAACGAGCAGCAUGCUAAUAACAUCGGAGACCAUCUGGCAAAUGACACCCUCAAAUCAGCUGAAAGCGAAACCAUUACAAUCUCAAUGGAGAGCGAGUCCUAACCAGGUAAUUGCAGUCAGCCACCUCUCAGCGAGUCUGUAGCUCUGGCUUAAUGGAGAAGCACCUCAGUCAUCUACUUCGAUGCCUUAAGCAAAGCUAGAGUUCAGUUUCUCAGCAGUCUGCCAGCAGAUGCCCAUUUAAAUCCAUUCACAGUAA